GACGAACGCUGGCGGUGUGCUUAACACAUGCAAGUCGAACGGAAAGGCCCUGCUUUUGUGGGGUGCUCGAGUGGCGAACGGGUGAGUAACACGUGAGUAACCUGCCCUUGACUUUGGGAUAACUUCAGGAAACUGGGGCUAAUACCGGAUAGGAGCUCCUGCUGCAUGGUGGGGGUUGGAAAGUUUCGGCGGUUGGGGGUGGACUCGCGGCUUAUCAGCUUGUUGGUGGGGUAGUGGCUUACCAAGGCUUUGACGGGUAGCCCGCCUGUGAGGGUGACCGGCCACAUUGGGACUGAGAUGCGGCCCAGACUCCUACGGGAGGGAGCAGUGGGGAAUUUUGCACAAUGGGCGGAAGCCUGAUGCAGCAACGCCGCGUGCGGGAUGACGGCCUUCGGGUAGUAAACCGCUUUCGCCUGUGACGAAGCGUGAGUGACGGUAAUGGGUAGAGAAGCAACGGCUAACUACGUG
rnacentral:rRNA from 1 species